UUACCAAUUAGGGCCUGCCUCACAGAGAGAGAACACACCCUGCCGGGCUCUGCAAGGGAAUUCCAGUGCGACAGAUUACAAGCAUGAAGCUGCUUGGAGCUGCCCUUCUCUCCCUGGCUGUGUUCAGCAUCUGCACCACAAAUGCACAAGAAAAUCCAUCUAUGUCUCCACCAUCCAAGAGCAUUCAGUCAACUGCAGCAGAAGAAAAUUCAUCUAUGACUCCACCAUCCAAGAGCAUUCACUCAACUGCAGUUUCCAGUGAUUCAACCAUUACUAUAAACAGUAGUACAAAUGUCUCAGUUUCCAGUGAUUCAACCGUUACUAUAAGCAGUAGUACAAAUGUUUCAGCACAAGAAAAUUCAUCUAUGACUCCACCAUCCAAGAGCAUUCACUCAACUGCAGCACAAGAAAAUUCAUCUAUGACUCCACCAUCCAAGAAUAUUCAGUCAACUGCAGCACAAGAAAAUUCAUCUAUGACUCCACCAUCCAAGAGUAUUCAGUCAACUGCAGCAGGGAAAACUGAACCACUGCCAAGGAGUUCUGUGACGGCAGCAUCAGACUCCACUUGGAUGACGGCUGGCUCACACUGGAAAUCACCAUUAACACCAAGUCCUGGCAGUCCUGGUAGCAAUGACAAACAAGCGGAUAAUGACCAAUAUUCCAAUAUUAUUUUGCCAGUUGUGAUUGCCUUGAUAGUAAUAACCCUUUCUGUGUUCAUUCUGGUGGCUUUGUACAGAAUGUGCCAGAGGAAAACCACAGAGGGACAAGAGACUGGAACUGAACAAGCCACAACAGAUAAAGAGGGUGUCAAACUUCUUUCUGUAAAGACAACUUCUCCUGAGACGGGAUCUACAGGAAGGAAUCCAGGGUCACCUGAAAGUAUAAACCCCUCUGAUGUAGGAAGUGCUUUCUAUUCCCUCUUUCUGUUAUGAGGAGACUUCCAAUGCAGGUCAGCAGGCAGCAGACCACUGGCAUACUCAGUGCCUGGAAAGGGUGGAUAGUCUUGGAGCUGUUCAUGGAAAGUCAUCCCCUGGGAGAAAUUAUACAAUCAUAGAAUAUUAGGUUGGAAGAGACCUCAGGAG